AAAAGAAAGAACAAUCAAAAUCUAGUUAGGCAAUUUACAGCAUUGGUUUCUACUUCACUCCCAUACUCUAUCAUUAUGACAUUUAUGUAUUUAUCUUUGACUGGACUCAAAAACUGAGUGUAGGAAGUGGAGAAACAGCUGGAUCUUUUCAAAUAUCAUAAAGUUCUAUCGUUUUGUCUUCUUUUAGCCCUUAUUCACUGUCCUGUCAUUACUCUGAGAGCAGACUCGUUCACAGGUUGGGAAGUAGGAAAAGUCAUUCUGAAGGAUUCUGAAACAGAGGAAAGUAGAGAUUCAUGAUUGACCCAUUUGAUUGCAAAACUAGAGGACUCCAUGAAGAUGUGUGUAUAAGGCCAGCUGACUUAAAAAUGACAAUAGCAGAAGGGAACACUGGAGUCCUUCAUACUCUGAAAGUAAAGAUAACUACAUCAGUCUAAACUUUGGUGGAGUAAAGAAAAGGUGGUGAUGCCUAAUUGACUGUACUGGAACAUUUGUCCUCAUCUGGGCAUGUACGACACAGAUGCUGUCCUGGUGAUUAGAAUCCCUGCCUCCUCCAGAGUCACACUAUGAAGAAUUUCAUCUCCAACAAUCAUUUCAUGGUAGGAAGUUCAAAAAAGACAAAUGUCCAAAGAAAUUGUGGUGAUUUAUCUUCU
rnacentral:lncRNA from 1 species